GGGAACUUUGUGUUUGGGAGAGAGUUAGUGAAGUGGUACAACUGAAGAUUGUCCAGAAAGAAGUCUAGAGAGGCAAAGAAAUGGAAAAUAUAAAAAAGACAUUAAGAGACAUGUAGGAUCCAGUGAGAAAGCCUCAUAUUUGUUUAAUCAGAUUUCUAAAAAAGACAAGAGAGGGAAAAUGGGACAAAGACAUUAGCUAAAGUGAUAAUGAAAACUUUCGAGAAUUAAUGAAAAAUACCAAUCCACAGAUAAGAAGCCAACAAGUCACAAGCAAGAUAAAUAACGAGAAAUGCACACCUAGAUACAUCAUAGUUAAGUGAUAAAAUAAUAGAAACACAGAGAAACGGUCUUAAAUACACUCAAAGAAAUACUAGCUUCAAAGAAGUAAUAAUUAGGCUGUAGCUGACUUCUCAAUACCAACUAUGGAAUGAACUUUAAUGUGCUUAGAGAAAAACAACUGUUGAUCUGAACAUAAACUUCUGCAUCUGGCAAAAACUUUCAAUAAUGAAUACAAAAUAAAUGUACUUUCAGAAAAAUAAAACUGGAAGUUGCCACCAGCAGACUCUCAAUAAGGAAAGUGAUCCCAGAUGCAAGGAUUGAGAUAAAAGAGGUGAGGAAUGAUAAAGAAAGUAGUAAAAAUGUGUGUAAACAUUGACAGCACAAAAUAAUAAGAAUGAUGAUCAUGAUGGUGACUACAACAAUUUGUGGGAUUAUGUAAGUAAUUAAAAUGCCUAAUAUCAUAUAAAUUGGCAGGGGGAAUGAAUGACUGGAAUUCAAGUUCUAGCAACCUUGUAUUAUUCGGAAGUCUAAACAGUCAUCAGUUUUAGACUUUGAUAAGUAUGUAAGUUGAAAUGUAUAAGAUAAUCACAGAACAAACAGAAAUAAAACCAUUAACCUCCAAUUUAAGUAGAGAAAAUGGAAAAAGAAAAAGUAAAUAAUCCAAAAGAAGGCAAGAAAAAAGAGGGGGAAAAGCAGAAGAAAGCACAAAAGAUGAUAAAAAAUAAAUCCAAAUAUGUUAUUACACUAACUAGAAAUGUUGCUCUUGUACACUGCUGAUGGGUCAUGUAAAAUAGCACAACUUUUUGGAAAUAAUUUGGCUGUUUCUACACUAAAGUUGAAUAUCCUGAUGCUGUUGUUAGUGCCAUCAAGUGGAUUCCAACUCCUAGCACCCCUGUGGACGGCAGAGCAGAACCCUGCCCCGUCUUUUGCACCAUUCUCUCACCUUCUGGCACUAUAUCAGACAAUGCUCCACUGCUAUUCAUAGGGUUUUCAUGGCCAGUUCUUUCAGAAGUGGGUGGCCAGGUCCUUCUUCCUAGUCAGUCUUAGUCCAGAAGCUCCACUGAGACCCGUCCACCAAGGGUGACCCUGCUGGUAUUUGACCAGUGACAUGGCUUUCAGCAUCACAGCCACAGUAUGACAACUGAUAGACGAGUGGUGUAGUUCCCUGACCAGAAACGAACCAGGCCGCUACAGUGAGUGCUGAACCUCCACCACUAGACCACCAGGGCUGGCUGCCAACAUCCUACCACAGCGCAAGCCUAAUUCCUACUAAACAUACAAACUAGAGACACCCUUGUGCAUGUAUGCCAGGAGACAUAUACAAGCAUGUUUACAAUGAAGCUAAAACUAACCCUAUGCCCAUCAGCAGUAAAUGCAAUAACAAACUGAUUUUUCAUAACUUCCAGGAUAUAGCCAUGUUCUACUUAUUGGCCUGGGUAACAAGUAUGCCGAUAUUUGUUUUUAUCAUUGCCGUUAAAAUGUACCUGCACACUUUCAGAUACACAUGCGUGUAUUUUACAAUUUCACAGUAAUUAAAAAGAAGGCAAGUGAGAAUCAGAGAAGUAAAUUAUCAAAGGCUGCAAAGCCAGUCAGUGCUAGAGCCACAAUUAGAAAAUGUCUUUAUGACUCUUUAUCUCAUCAUCUUAACAAUUAUUCCAAAAAAUAACAUGGAAUACUACUAGCAUCAACCCAUUAGAAACUAGUGUUAAAAAGACAAAAGCAAGCACAUAGCUUUUGUCGAGAUCCUUACUGGGGCCCCUCGUUUUCAGUACCACUCCCAGAUCCCAGCUUCACCCCACCUCCCAUCACAACCUACUCAGACCUAGCAGGAAGCCACAUUUCAGAAACAGACUGAGAGCAAU
rnacentral:lncRNA from 1 species